CCUGUGGCUGCCGCCGGCGUGCGCGCCGUUACCUCCCGCGCAUGCUCUAUCGGGUAGAGACGCAAGGCAGGCACUGCCAAGGUGGGCCCGGCGGUGCGAGGGUUACCUUUCAGCCCUUACUUCUACCCGCUGAAAUGGAGUAGGGCGGUGAGCGCCGAUCUGCUGGAGAAUCUCGUUAUCCCAUCGGCGUUCUGCCUGCUCCUGGCCUCCAAGCCUCUGAAGCCCCCCGGAUUUCAGCUGCCGGCCACCCACGAGCCCGUGGUGCCCACGAGAGGCGACUUUACGUCAGCGGCCCUGGGCUGAGAUUUGAGAACGCGACCAAGUGGAGAAUGUUGGAGCCAGAUUUUAAAAUCCUUGGCUUCCUUAUUCUUGCUACUUGAUGUAAAUGAGAUACGGCAAAGUCACAGUACCUGUUUUUAUGUUUUUGCCGGGUUCAUACGGGCUUCUCCGGUGAAGAUGGGCCGAAGUAAAGCUUGUGUUGCUUCUGACGUUAUUACUCAUCCUGUAGCUGCAGCAACCGUGGUCCUUGCAACCUCAUAAAAUGUUGCCAGCAUUGUUUUGAUGGUGCUGCUUAAUUCUUGGAAGGCCUCUUUGCUUUCUUGCCUGAGGUUCUUCGGACUUCACAGAUUCCAGCAGUAGCUCUCUCAGCUCCUGCCCUGCACAGCUUUGAAGUGCUGUUGCUGCAGCUCCUGGUGGUGUAACACCGUUCCAGGCAGGAAGAAAGUAAAUGGUGAGCAACCCCCGGCCCUGUGUGUGUUAGUGCCAACUAUUAGAGGGUGAGGCCCGUUUCUUUCUGGAAGCAAGGAGAAGAGGGAGAAGGAAAAGAAGGAAGAAGGGAGA